UACGGAAGGCAGCAGUGGGGAAUAUUGCACAAUGGGCGAAAGCCUGAUGCAGCUAUGCCGCGUGUAUGAAGAAGGCCUUAGGGUUGUAAAGUACUUUCAUCGGGGAGGAAAAAACAAAACUAAUAAUUUUAUUUCUUGACGUUACCCGAAAAAGAAGCACCGGCUAACUCCGUGCCAGCAGCCGCGGUAAUACGGAGGGUGCUAGCGUUAAUCAGAAUUACUGGGCAUAAAGAGCACGUAGGUGGUUUUUUUAAGUCAGAUGUGAAAUCCCUGGGCUUAACCUAGGAACUGCAUUUUGAAACUGAAAUACUAGAGUAUCGUAGAGGGAGGUAGAAUUCUAGGUGUAGCGGUGAAAUGCGUAGAUAUCUGGAGGAAUACCUGUGGCGAAAGCGGCCUCCUAAACGAAUACUGACACUGAGGUGCGAAAGCGUGGGGAGCAAACAGGGAUUAGAUACC
rnacentral:rRNA from 1 species